rnacentral:rRNA from 1 species
UACGUAGGGGGGCAAGCGUUGUCCGGAUUUACUGGGCGUAAAGAGCGUGUAGGCGGCCAAGCAGGUCCGUUGUGAAAACUGGAGGCUUAACCUCCAGACGUCGACGGAAACCGCGUGGCUAGAGUCCGGAAGAGGAGAGUGGAAUUCCUGGGUGUAGCGGUGAAAUGCGCAGAUAUCAGGAAGAACACCAAUGCGAAGGCAGCUCUCUGGGACGGUACUGACGCUGAGACGCGAAAAGCGUGGGGGAGCGAACAGG